rnacentral:lncRNA from 1 species
UUUUUUUUUUUUUUUUUUUUGCUGCACCCUCAGCAUGUGAAAGUUCUGGGCCAGGGAUAAAACUCUCACCAAACUUGCAGCCUGCUCCAUGGCUAUAGCAACACCGGAUCCUUAACCUGCUGUGCCACAAGGGAACUUCCUUUUCUACACUGUUUGUAUUACUUUUAUAAUCAAUAAGUUCCUUUCCAAAAGAAAGAAAAAAGUUUUUUGGCCACACCUGUGUCAUAUGGAAGUUCCUUGGCCAGGGAUCAAACCCAUGCCACUGCUAUAGCAACGCUAGAUCCUUAACCUACUGCGCCACAUGAGAACUUCCAGAAAAAAAAAAUUUUUUUAAUCAGAUGAAAUAACUUAGGGAAAGAAAUGGGAAACAAAGCUAAGACAUAACAGACUAGGAGAAAACAUUUAUAAUACAUAAAAUAAAGGAUUUGUAUCUGGAACAUAAAAAGGACUCAACAAAUCAAUAAGGAAAAAAAUCCACUAGAAGAGUAGGCAAAAAAUAUAAAUAGGCUGUUCACAGAAAAGAAAAUAUAAAUUUCCAAUAAGCACAGAAAAAGAUGCCCAACCUCAGUACUAACUAGUGAAAUGGAAAUUAAAACUGAAAUUGGCAACAAUUUUCAAGCUUCGUGAUAUCAAAAGAAUGUAAAGUGGUGUGGCCACUUUAGAGGAAAACUGAACAAAAGCUAUUAAAUCCAUGUCUCAAUGUCACUUCUAGCUCUCUACUAUAAUUCUAUAUGCAUAUGGAGGGAUGUUCAGGAUAACUGCUAUGAUAUUGCUAAUAAAGAAAAUUGAGGAGUUCCCCGUCGUGGCGCAGUGGUUAAUGAAUCUGACUAGGAACCAUGAGGUUGCGGGUUUGGUCCCUGCCCUUGCUCAGUGGGUUGACGAUCCGGUGGUGCCAUGAGCUGUGGUGUAGGUCGCAGAUGCGGCUCGGAUCCCAAGUUGCUGUGGCUCUGGCGUAGGCUAGUGGCUACAGCUCCGAUUAGACCCCUAGCCUGGGAACCUCCGUAUUCUGCGGGAGCGGCCCUAGAAAAGGCAAAAAGACAAAGGAAAAAAAAAAAAGAAAAGAAAAUUGAGACUCUGACAAGAUGCCCAUCAGUAGAGGAAUGGCUAAAUAAAAUGCAGAAUACUCAUUUAAUCGAAUUCCCUAGAAAAUUUAAAAGAAGUGACCUUGGAGUUCCUGUCGUAGCUCAGCAGUUAAUGAACCCAACUACCAUCCACGAGGUUGCAGUCGGAUUCAUUUCUGCUGCGCCACGAUGGGAACUCCCUGAUUUGAUAUUUUAAAAAACUCUCCCCAAAAUGCAUAACUCUGGUCUAAUUAUGAAGAAUCAUCAGACAAACCUGAAUUGAGGGAUAUUCUACAAAAUAUGUGACCUGGACUCUUCAAAGUGUUAAGGUCAUGAAAGCCAAGAAAAGACUGAGAACAAUUACAGAUCAGAGGAAACUAAGGAGACAGGACAACCAAACUCAGUGUGGGAUCCUGGACUGGAUACUGAAACAGAAAAAGGACAUUAGUGGGAAAACUGGUAAAGUUCUAGUGAAUCUAUGGUUUAGUUAAUAGUAUGGUACCAAUGUUAACUUCUUAGUUUUGACUAUUGAACCAGAGUUGCAUAAGCUGUUAACAUUAAGGCAAACUGAGUGAAAGGUAUACUGGAACUUUCUAUGCUAUUUUUGUAACUCUCCUGUAAAUUUAAAAUUAUUUCAAAAUAAAAAGUUAAAAAGAAAAUCAUGGACUUGGAAAAUAGACUUGUGGCUGCCUGAUGGGAGAGGGAGGGAGUGGGAGGGAUCAGGAGCUUGGGGUUAUCAGACACAACUUAGAACAGAUUUACAAGGAGAUCCUGCUGAGUAGCAUUGAGAACUAUGUCUAGAUACUCAUGUUGCAACAGAACAAAGGGUGGGGGGAAAAAAAAGGGAAAAAAAUGUAAUGUAUACAUGUAAGGAUAACUUGAUCCCCUUGCUGUACAGUGGGAAAAUUAAAAAAAAAAUAAAAAUAAAAAUUUAAAACAAAACGCAGACAUAAAUACCACUCUUUCCUGUCGUCACUGCUAUAGACAAUGUUUCUGUGUACCCUUUAGAUUCAUAUGUUGUGAUGAUGGUUGUACAAAUAUAAUAAAAUUCAUUGAAUUUAAAAAAAAAUAUGAGGCGUUCCCAUCGUGGCUCAGUGGAAACAAAUCUGACUAGUAUCCAUGAGGAUGCAGGUUCAAUCCCUGGCUUUGCUCAGUGGAUAAAGGAUCCAGUGUUGCUGUGAGCUGUGGUGUAGGCCAGCAGCUACAGUUUUGAUUCAACCCCUAGCCCAGGAACCUCCAUAUGCCUUGGUUGUGGACCUAAAAAGACCAAAAAAAAAAAAAAAAAAAAAAAAAAAAGGGAAACCUAAUCCCCAUUGUGUUGAUAUCUGGAGAUAGGCAUUUGGGAGGUUAUUAGGUCACCAAGGCAGAGCCCCCAUAAGUGGAAUUAGUGCCCUUAUGAAAGGGACCCAAGAGAGGACAGGUGGGAUGGGAUGGGGGUUUGGGAUUGGCGCAUGCACACUGUGGUAUGGAAUGACUGGCCAAUGUGGACCUGCUGUAUUACACAGGGAACUCUACCCAAUAUUCUGGGAAAAUCUAUAUGGCAAAAGAAUCUGAAAAAUUUAAAAAAAGAGAGAGAGAGACCCCAGAGAGCUUCCUACUCCCUCCUACCUUGUGAGGACACAGCAAGAGGAUAGCUAUCUCUGAACCAGGAAGUGGGUCUUCACCACUGAGUCUGCUGAUACCUUGCUCUUGGACUUCCCAGCUUCUAGAACUGUGAGAAACAAAUUUCUAUUGUUUACAUGCCACCCGGUCUCUGCUAUUCUGUUAUGGCAGCCUGAACUAAGACAACUGCACAUGGUUUGUAGGAGAUUUUGAAAACAGAUUGUAAGGCUACCUACCAAAAUCUUUUAUCAGAGGUUAUCCUUAAAGAUAGGGGGUCAUGUCGAAAGAGAGUCUUAGCUUUAGUUUUAAUAUUCUUGGAGAUAAAUGUACAGAUGUAUUUCUUUUUUAAUCGAAAAUUAAUUUUUUAAAAUGAAAAAGAAAGCAAAAGGACAAGAUACUUGGCCUCAUGAUUUUCAGGAGUAAGACAAGCCAUGCCAACCAACCAUAAAACAACCUUCUAAUAAUGGGUCGGGGAGACAGAGGAAGCCUUAAAUGACUUGCUUAGGGUCUCUAACUUGACACUGGCUGAGGGGCCCAGGCAGCACUUGGUAAGAAAGGCCAUCCCACUGUGGCCUUGGAUGGCCUCUCACCAAACUUCCUGCCCGAGCACUCACAUGGCUUCCCUACCCCUUUGUUAACCCAAUUUUUCCCCAGAAUACCUUAAACUCUGAGUCACCCAGAAUGUGAGCUGCAUUCACAGGUCACUCAUCAGUUUUCUGCUUCUUGGCAGAACCCCUCAGAGAAAUUCAAGCAUUGCUCAACACCCUGGCCUGGAGCCUAGAAACAGCCUGCCCCCAAAUUUGUUCCCAGGAAGUAUUCAGUCAUAGAUCCAAUCAGCCAGCUUUAAAGUCUCUUCUCUUUUUCCUCCCUCCUUCUCUAACAGCAUAAGGCCAGCACUUACUGCCAUAAGUAGCCGUACAGGCAUUACGGGUAGAGACAGUUAAUCAGAAAAAAUUUAGUCUAGCUAGAAACAUCUAGUCCAACUUGAGACAGGACAUCCAUUUAAGACUUAAGAGCACCUACAUCUCUUCAAAAAUAUGCACUCAGCUCCUACCAGGUGCCUAAUACUGAUCCACAGAAACAUGAGUUUCUGCCC